rnacentral:ncRNA from 2 species
AGUAUGACCCGUGAUCAUGGUGUCCACGCGACUGAAAAGGGAAUCCGGUUUAAUUCCGGAGCUGUUCCCGCAACUGUAAGUGCUGACGAAUCACGCGCAACCACUGCCUUUUAAUUUUUAAUAAGGUGGGAAGGGCGUGAAAAGGCUGACGCACGAGCCAGGAGACCUGCCAUGAUCCACGUAAGAUC